rnacentral:rRNA from 1 species
UGAGUUUUGAUCCUGGCUCAGAUUGAACGCUGGCGGCAGGCCUAACACAUGCAAGUCGAGCGGAUGAAGGGAGCUUGCUCCUGGAUUCAGCGGCGGACGGGUGAGUAAUGCCUAGGAAUCUGCCUGGUAGUGGGGGAUAACGUCCGGAAACGGGCGCUAAUACCGCAUACGUCCUGAGGGAGAAAGUGGGGGAUCUUCGGACCUCACGCUAUCAGAUGAGCCUAGGUCGGAUUAGCUAGUUGGUGGGGUAAAGGCCUACCAAGGCGACGAUCCGUAACUGGUCUGAGAGGAUGAUCAGUCACACUGGAACUGAGACACGGUCCAGACUCCUACGGGAGGCAGCAGUGGGGAAUAUUGGACAAUGGGCGAAAGCCUGAUCCAGCCAUGCCGCGUGUGUGAAGAAGGUCUUCGGAUUGUAAAGCACUUUAAGUUGGGAGGAAGGGCAGUAAGUUAAUACCUUGCUGUUUUGACGUUACCAACAGAAUAAGCACCGGCUAACA